rnacentral:rRNA from 1 species
UAAAAGUUAAACGGCCGCGGUAUUUUGACCGUGCAAAGGUAGCGCAAUCACUUGUCUUUUAAAUGGGGACCUGUAUGAAUGGCAUCACGAGGGCUUAACUGUCUCCUUUCUCAAGCCAAUGAGAUUGAUCUCUCCGUGCAGAAGCGGGGAUAGCACCAUAAGACGAGAAGACCCUAUGGAGCUUUAGACACCAAGGCAGCUUACGUUAAGAACCCUUAAAUAUAAGACCAAACAGUGUUUGUUCUGCCCGAAUGUCUUCGGUUGGGGCGACCCUGGGGAGAUAACCAACCCCCACGAGGAAUGGAAGCAUGCUUCCAGAACAGAGAGCCACCGCUCUAAGUACCAAAACUUUUGACCACCAGAUCCGGCAAAGCCGAUCAACGGACCGAGUUACCCUAGGGAUAACAGCGCAAUCCCCUUAUAGAGCCCUUAUCGACAAGGGGGUUUACGACCUCGAUGUUGGAUCAGGACAUCCUAAUGGCGCAGCCGUUAUUAAGGGUUCGUUUGUUCAACGAUUAAAGUCCUACCUGAUCUGAGUUCA